GACGAACGCUGGCGGCGUGCUUAACACAUGCAAGUCGAACGGAAAGGCCCUGCUUGCAGGGUACUCGAGUGGCGAACGGGUGAGUAACACGUGGGUGAUCUGCCCUGCACUUCGGGAUAAGCCUGGGAAACUGGGUCUAAUACCGGAUAGGAGCCAUUUUUAGUGUGAUGGUUGGAAAGUUUUUUCGGUGUAGGAUGAGCUCGCGGCCUAUCAGCUUGUUGGUGGGGUAAUGGCCUACCAAGGCGGCGACGGGUAGCCGGCCUGAGAGGGUGGACGGCCACAUUGGGACUGAGAGACGGCCCAGACUCCUACGGGAGGCAGCAGUGGGGAAUAUUGCACAAUGGGCGCAAGCCUGAUGCAGCGACGCCGCGUGGGGGAUGACGGCCUUCGGGUUGUAAACUCCGUUCGCUAGGGACGAAGCUUUUUGUGACGGUACCUAGAGAAGAAGCACCGGCUAACUACGUG
rnacentral:rRNA from 1 species